rnacentral:rRNA from 1 species
CCUACGGGUGGCUGCAGUGGGGAAUUUUGGACAAUGGGCGCAAGCCUGAUCCAGCCAUGCCGCGUGUGGGAAGAAGGCCUUCGGGUUGUAAACCACUUUUGUCAGGGAAGAAACGGUCUGGUCUAAUAAACCGGACUAAUGACGGUACCUGAAGAAUAAGCACCGGCUAACUACGUGCCAGCAGCCGCGGUAAUACGUAGGGUGCAAGCGUUAAUCGGAAUUACUGGGCGUAAAGCGUGCGCAGGCGGCUUUGCAAGACAGAUGUGAAAUCCCCG